rnacentral:rRNA from 1 species
GCCAAAUAGCUAGCUUAACUACUUAUAUAACCCAACAAUAUACAUAACAAAACAUGACAAUAAUGAUAAAAACUAAACCAUUUUUUUACCUGAGUA